CAGUCGCCGCGGUAAUACGAAGGUCCCAAGCGUUGUUCGGAAUCACUGGGCGUAAAGGGAGCGUAGGCGGCGUGGUAAGUCAGAUGUGAAAUCCCGGGGCUCAACCCCGGAACUGCAUCCGAUACUGCCAUGCUUGAGGGUUGGAGAGGUGACUGGAAUUCUCGGUGUAGCAGUGAAAUGCGUGGAUAUCGAGAGGAACACUCGUGGCGAAGGCGAGUCACUGGACAACAUCUGACGCUGAGGCUCGAAGGCUAGGGUAGCGAAAGGGAUUAGAUACCCGCGUAGUCCCUGUCUCUUAUAC
rnacentral:rRNA from 1 species